CGGCGCGCGGACAAAGCGCUCUCUCUGCCUCCCUCUCUCUCCCUCUCAAGGCGGUGGCGGGAGGAGGAGCAGCGGCGGGCGGCGGCAGCGCACCCCGCGUGUGUCUGUGUGAGAGUUUGUACGGGCGUGUGCGCAGCCGAGAGUGAGCGAGCGAGCGCCCCCUCCCCGCCCCGCGCCGCUGCGCCCCUCGCCUCGCGCCCCCCGCGCUCCUAGCGCUCCGCGCGGCUACCCAGGCUUCAGCCCCGCGCCGGGCAGGCGGAAGCGGGUCGCGGCCCGGGGCUGGGGCUCCCGGGCGCCAGAACCUCGGGCGGGCGCGGCGCGGAGGCCGGGAGAGCGGCGGGGCGGGGAAGGCGCGCCCCGGGCGCGGGUGGGAGUGCGUGAGGGGGAGCGGCUGGGAGCCGCAGGCGUGGGAGGGCGAGGGGCUGUGCGAGAGCGUGGAAAGGGGUGUGCGCAAGGUGGACCGGAUGUGAGGGCGCGGCUGCCGGGCCGGCGGGAAGGUGUGUCUCAGAGGUCUGACCUUGUUUUGCACACCUCUAACUACUGGCUCAAGUUUGGGUCCAAUCCAGUGAACCUCCUGUAACCAUGGUACUGCUAGCAUCAAUCCUCAUUGCUAAGACUCCUGAUUCUACACCUCAACACCAACAGAGGACCCUUCUACUUGAUGGACCUACAAUUCCAGUUAUCACACCCUCCUGGAUAUAGUGGUUUAUACAGAUGACUAAUCAUGCAUAAGUCAGGCUCCUCCUCAGGUAAGUCCUUCCCUGCUUCAGCCCUGUUUAUUUCAAGCUGAUUUUUAAAAGCAAAGGUUGGGGUAGCAGACAGAGCUUGUUUCAAAGAUCUACUUUUCUAAGUCCUGGAUAUAUGUCCUUAAUUCUCAGUUUCCUCAUUUUUAAACAUGGGUAAAUAAGAUAUCGUAAUCUUUAUUAGGUUUUUUUUUUUUUGCUGCUAUAACAAUAUGUACAAGUCAACCAUAGAAAAAUGGUGUUUUCAGUAUUUUAAAAAUCAUAACUUUGUCUUUAAUAAGGCCAUAAAGGCCAGCUAGAGAGUUAGAUCCAAAAAAAAAAAAAAAAGCGUUCUUGGUGUGGUGUGGUGUAGUAGAUUAAGAAUCUGACUGCAUGGAGUUCCCAUCGUGGCUCAGUGGUUAAUGAAUCCAACUAGGAACCAUGAGGUUGCGGGUUCGAUCCCUGACCUUGCUAAGUAGGUUAAGGAUCCGGCAUUACCAUGAGCUGUGGUGUAGGUUGCAGACAUGGCUCGGAUCCCGAGUUGCUCUGGCUCUGGCGUAGGCCAGCGGCCGGCAGCUACAGCUCCAGUUCGACCCCUAGCCUGGGAACUUCCAUAUGUCAUGGGUGGGGCCCUAAAAAGACAAAAUAAUAAUAAUAAUAAUAAUACAAUAAAAUAAAAAAUAAAUAAAAAUUGAAAAACA
rnacentral:lncRNA from 1 species